GUAGGGUACUGCCUGGUGGGAGCUAGGAAAUGACCUGGAAGCAUCUUUGGGGUUAAACUGUUCAGAAACGGUUUAAACCCUGAAGGUAACAUUUCUGCAGGAGGACUCCUAGCACAAUAAGGCAUCAUAACUUAAUUUAGAUUAAGUUUUUAUUAUGCCUAUACUGUCCCUUUAAUAAAUUAUGGUUUAUGUUAGUCCAAUUAAAAGGUAUUGUAUUU